rnacentral:snoRNA from 2 species
AGCUUGCCAAUGAUGUCACAAAAUAAAUGUCUGAACUGAUGAUAUCACAGUGAUUUUUUUUAUUUUUAACAUCUUUACUAAAGCAAGCU